CUGUAUUCAUUUUAUGCCACUGAGUCAUGUCGGAGCUUGAGGCAGCUCCCACUUCUCUAGUGCCCCCUAGGGGUGGGCAGUGACCUCCCCUCCCCCCUCCCCCCGCCCAGCCUUGAAAGUGGGCAUGCCUGGGCUGACAGCUCCCCACUCACAAGCGCUGGGGAUACUGAGGCAAUCACCAACCCUCCCCUCGAGUCCAGCUUCCCGCUGGAAACGAUGAGGGUGCUACCUGCUCACAGGAUCCUCCUCAGGCCAGAGCUCCAGGCCGGAAGGGAGCCGCAGCACGGAGAGACACCACCAGGGUGCAGCAUUGCCUGCAAGAUCCCGGGGCAGGAGCCAGGUGCUCCCCAGGAGCAGACGGCAGGUGGCCCCAGGCAACCAACUUGGGCCGUGAACUUGGAUCUCUGAACCUCCAAGGCCAAGUCAGGAAGGCGGUAGAGGAAGAUACGAGAAAACGUGGUCUCUCCAGCUGCGGCAUGCUGGAAAGAUUCCCUGGUUUGGUGUCGGACAGGCAGGAGUGGAUCAUCCACUGGGGCUCAUGUAACAUGAAACGGAAACCACAGACAAGCAGGUCCUUUCUGCAGAGCCACAGCGUCAGCUCACAGACGUCAGUUGUGCUGGGGAGUCGUCCCAGCUCGUUUCCAGGGGUCAGACGAUUGUUCCAUCAUGUGUGGCUGCAAUCAAGAGCAAGCUCUGCCCCCUUAUUCCUGUUUCUAAUGAAAAUAUAUUUUAAUCAUGAUCUCCAGGUAUGGUAGCAUGAGAGAACAAUUUUAAAAAAAAGAAAAAAAAGCUAAAAAUAGAGACGAAAACGUCAACUCUGUUGAAAUUCCAAAGGACACAACCUCAUGAUACAAACUCCGAAUAACAAUCUCAGUGCAGAAUGUGGGAGGGGGAUGCCGGGAACCCAGUCCCCAGGACGGGGGUGUCAGUUGAAGCAGAGCGGUGAGCGCUGGCGGCUUUCCCACUGCUCUGCUCAGUGCAGGAAGCACAGGACCCAGGCACAAGGCUCUCCUCUGACCCGGCCUCCUCCCCAGGGAGCGCGUCACGGCGGAAAGUCCAGUGAUGACGAUCCAGUGAGGACGGAGAGGACACUGUUGCCCAGAAAGAAGCUCAGACUGCAUCCCACUUUCCCAGCAAACCUCUAGCUUCCCAGCCCUCCUUUGAGAGGCCAGAUGUGGACAAAUGGGGGAAAGGAAACAAAGGAAUUCCAAGAUGCUGAGUAGAGCCUGACAGUAAACCUUGGAGAGAGGGAGGGGAGGAAGCGGGCAGAAAAGCGCCUGGACGACUGUCCACAGCAGCUCUAAGUCUGGGAGUUGAAAGUGGGGUUGAGAGGGUUUGGGGGACCCUGCACAGAGGGGGGGCAGCAAUGGGGAGACGCUGGGCAUUAAGAGGGCACCCCUGUUUGGCCUAGGGCAGGGUUUCUCACCCUGGCUUCACUCCAGAAUUGCCUGCAGAGCAUUUCACAAUCCCUAUUGCCCAGGCCCCAUUCAAAACAAUUGCACCCCAACACCUGAGGGUGGCCUGGGAAUCGGCAUUUUAAGCUCCCCAACCUGUUCCGAGGUGCAGCCAGGAUUGAGAACUGCUGUUCUAGAGAUCAGGGGCCGGCCCGGUGGCGCAGUGGUUAAGUGCACAUGUUCCGCUUUGGUGGCCCGGGGUUCGCUGGUUUGGAUCCCAGGUGCGGACAUGGCACCACUUGGCAAGCCAUGCUGUGGCAGGCGUCCCACAUAUAAAGUAGAGAAGAUGGGCACAGAUGUUAGCCCAGGACCAGUCUUCCUCAGCAAAAAGAGGAGGAUUGGCGG
ensembl:lncRNA